rnacentral:rRNA from 1 species
CUAGCGACUUCAGAGUUUGAUCCUGGCUCAGGAUGAACGCUAGCGGCAGGCCUAAUACAUGCAAGUCGGACGGUAAAUGGCCCUUCGGGGCUAUGAGAGUGGCGCACGGGUGCGUAACGCGUAUGCAACCUACCCAAUGCUGGCGGAUAGCCCGGAGAAAUUCGGAUUAAGCCGUCAUGAGGAGCUGAGAGGGCAUCCUUUUGGUUUCAAAUAUUUAUAGGCGUUGGAUGGGCAUGCGUGCUAUUAGAUAGUUGGCGGGGUAACGGCCCACCAAGUCGACGAUAGCUAGGGGAUCUGAGAGGACGGCCCCCCACACUGGUACUGAGACACGGACCAG